rnacentral:rRNA from 1 species
UACGGAGGGAGCGAGCGUUGUCCGAAGUUACUGGGCGUAAAGCGCGCGUAGGCGGGGAAUUAAGUGAGAAGUGAAAGGCUGGGGCUCAACCUCAUGCAGUGCUUCUCAUACUGGUUCUCUUGAGGGCGGUAGGGAGAAGUGGAAUGGCUGGUGUAGCGGUGAAAUGCGCAGAUAUCAGGAGGAACACCAAUUGCGAAGGCAGCUCGCUGGGACGUUACUGACGCUGAGACGCGAAAGCGUGGGGAGCAAACAGG